GACGAACCUUGCUAACGUUAUUCGGAAUUACUGGGCUUAAAGGGUUUGUAGGCGGCCAUGUAAGUCAGGUGUGAAAUCCCUCGGCUCAACCGAGGAACGGCGCUUGAUACUGCAUGGCUUGAGGGAGACAGGGGUAAGCGGAACUGAUGGUGGAGCGGUGAAAUGCGUUGAUAUCAUCAGGAACACCGGUGGCGAAAGCGGCUUACUGGGUCUCUUCUGACGCUGAGGAACGAAAGCUAGGGUAGCGAACGGG
rnacentral:rRNA from 1 species